rnacentral:rRNA from 1 species
AGAGUUUGAUCCUGGCUCAGAACGUACGCUGGCGGCACGCCUAACACAUGCAAGUCGAACGCAGUAGCAAUACUGAGUGGCAGACGGGUGAGUAACAUGUGGGAAUCUGCCUUGUGGUUCAGGACAACAUUGGGAAACCGAUGCUAAUACUGGAUAAGCCCUUACGGGGAAAGUUUUAAUGCCAUAAGAUGAGCCCGCAUUUGAUUAGUUAGUUGGUGAGGUAAUGGCUCACCAAGACAAUGAUCAAUAGCUGAUCUGAGAGGAUGAUCAGCCACACUGGGACUGAGACACGGCCCAGACUCCUACGGGAGGCAGCAGUGGGGAAUCUUGCACAAUGGAGGAAACUCUGAUGCAGCGAUGCCGCGUGAGUGAAGAAGGCCUUUGGGUUGUAAAGCUCUUUUGUAGGGGAAGAUAAUGACUGUACCCUAAGAAUAAGGUCCGGCUAACUUCGUGCCAGCAGCCGCGGUAAUACGAAGGGACCUAGCGUAGUUCGGAAUUACUGGGCGUAAAGCGCGCGUAGGCCGUUGAGUUAGUUAAUUGUGAAAUCCCAAAGCUUAACUUUGGAACUGCAAUUAAAACUGUUCGACUAGAGUUUGAUAGAGGAAAGCGGAAUACAUAGUGUAGAGGUGAAAUUCGUAGAUAUUAUGUAGAACACCAGUUGCAAAGGCGGCUUUCUGGAUCAACACUGACGCUGAGGCGCGAAAGUAUGGGUAGCAAAGAGGAUUAGAUACCCUCGUAGUCCAUACCAUAAACGAUGAUUGCUAGAUGUUGGAAAUUUAUUUUCAGUAUCGCAGCUAACG